CAAUAGCGUAUAUUAAAGUUGUUGCAGUUAAAAAGCUCGUAGUUGAAUUUCUGGGCUGGCCGGGAGGCGGCCUUCGGUCGACCUCCCCGCGAGUUCAUCCUCGCCCCUCGGGGCGUCAUUUACUGUGAAAAAAUUAGAGUGUUUAAAGCAGGCUUCUGGCUUGAAUACAUUAGCAUGGAAUAAUGAGAUAGGACCGAGUCGUAUUUUGUUGGUUGCGCGAACCGGUAAUGAUUAAUAGGGACAGUUGGGGGUAUUCAUAUUUAAUUGUCAGAGGUGAAAUUCUUAGAUUUGUUAAAGAUGAACUACUGCGAAAGCAUUUACCAAGGAUGUUUNCAUUAA
rnacentral:rRNA from 1 species